rnacentral:snRNA from 1 species
GGAUGUGAGGGAGAUCUGGCUGUGACAUCUGUCACCCCAUGGAUCGCCAAGGUUGAUUCGGCUGAUUUUCCUGGCUAGGCGGAUGGCCCCUUCCUCCCUCACCGCUCCAAGUGCGUCCCUCCCGAAGCUUCGCGCUGGGUCAAAGAGGACAACCACCCCCGAUAGAUAGAGGAGGACUGUUCCUCGGUCAAGGGUGUAUGAGUAGCUGCGCUUGAACCUCCAAACAAGCUCUCAAGGUCUAUUAUAGACAAGAGGAUAUAUUUUUUAGGAAUUUGUGCUCCAAAGCUAAAAACACGAUGUUCCAGUGUUCCAUGGUGGUGCAUGCCUGUAACC